rnacentral:rRNA from 1 species
CAGCAGCCGCGGUAAUACAGAGGGUGCAAGCGUUAAUCGGAUUUACUGGGCGUAAGGCGUGCGUAGGCGGCUAUUUAAGUCGGAUGUGAAAGCCCUGGGCUUAACCUGGGAACUGCAUUCGAUACUGGGUAGCUGGAGAUCGGUAGAGGGCGGCGGAAUUCCGGGUGUAGCGGUGAAAUGCGUAGAUAUCCGGAGGAACACCGAUGGCGAAGGCAACCGCCUGGGCCUGAUCUGACGCUGAGGCACGAAAGCGUGGGGAGCAAACAGGAUUAGAUACCCUGGUAGUCCACGCUGUAAACGAUGAGAACUUGACGUCCGCUUGCUCUGCGAGUGGGUGUCGAAGCUAACGCGCUAAGUUCUCCGCCUGGGGAGUACGGCCGCAAGGUGAAACUCAAAUGAAUUGACGG